GUGGGGAAUCUUGCGCAAUGGGCGAAAGCCUGACGCAGCCAUGCCGCGUGAAUGAUGAAGGUCUUAGGAUUGUAAAAUUCUUUCACCGGGGACGAUAAUGACGGUACCCGGAGAAGAAGCCCCGGCUAACUUCGUGCCAGCAGCCGCGGUAAUACGAAGGGGGCUAGCGUUGCUCGGAAUUACUGGGCGUAAAGGGCGCGUAGGCGGACAGUUUAGUCAGAGGUGAAAGCCCAGGGCUCAACCUUGGAAUUGCCUUUGAUACUGGCUGUCUUGAGUACGGGAGAGGUGAGUGGAACUCCGAGUGUAGAGGUGAAAUUCGUAGAUAUUCGGAAGAACACCAGUGGCGAAGGCGACUCACUGGCCCGUUACUGACGCUGAGGCGCGAAAGCGUGGGGAGCAAACAGGAUUAGAUACCCGUGUAUCC
rnacentral:rRNA from 1 species